rnacentral:siRNA from 1 species
CGGAUUGCUUCCCUCGCAAAUUGC